rnacentral:snoRNA from 1 species
ACGACAUGAUGGGGACAUUUUCGGAUGAGGUCCUUUAAUCUUUCCCAUGCCUCAUGGAACUGCUCACUAUUGUGCUGUGAGAAGCUAGUGAGAGCUCGCCUUAUCUG